UGGUGAUCGUAUUUCCAUUCUUCUCAGGCUUGGUUUGCGACGGCGCCAACAUCACUUCACUUCACUCACAACAAUAACCAAAACAACUUGGAGCAGGUCCGACACAACUCACACCACAUACCUGUACACCACCAGCAGGAACGAAACGAUCGCCCACCAAACGAACACACACAGAUCUCUAGCUUUAUUCAACACAUUAAAAAUGACAAAGAGAAAAGACCGAUUCAAAUGGGGAGAACCAGACGGAGCGUGGAGUAACUAUGGUGAUAUGCACCGGCUCGAUGACUUACUCGGACAACCUGCAGAAUAAAGGGGUCCAAGAGAGAGCUACACUUCAAAUAACUAAACAGAUCAGUGAAACUAAAUUGGUUAUUACAUUACAGACAUUGGUUUCACAUUCUAUAAUAAAAAUAAGAUUAUUAAGUUUCAGAGACCUCACAUUCGGCAAAAGAAAAUGCACCUCUCUGUAUAGAUAGCUAAACUCGAGAUUAAACUUAACGUCUAGAAACUUGGUAUAACUAAUAAAAUACCAUUUAAUGUAUUUUUCUGUUUAACUUAGAUAAAUGUUGCAUAAAAAGGUAUCAAUGUUAGUCAAUUAUAAACUAAAUACAGACUGAACCAAAAAUAAAUAAUAUUUUUGUCAUUAGUCAUUUUUGAUCUUCGAACAGAUCAAUUUAAUUUUUUUAAAUGCUACAUUUUAACACCAUACUGACAUUUAUGAUGUCAUUUUUAAUUUAUUAAAUAUCAACCGACAUUUCUGAUUACUGUUUUGGAUAGUACACAUCGUUACCUGUCUGGUAAAUAUAAAAAAAAUCCCACAAAAUUAAGCAAAAAAGAAGAAAAUAAUAAAUUAGAAACAAUUAUCUUUUUGUUCUGCAUAAAUUAUUUUUUUAUUGCACAACCAGUGCCGGUACAAAAAUUAAUAAAAUUAAUAGAAUAACGACACCCGGAUAACGUAUAACAAAAUUAAAACAAAAAAAUGUACUCAUAAAGUUUAUAUCAAGUCAUUUCUAUUUAAAAAAAAAUUGUAAAAGAAACGUAAAAUACUAAUUGACAGAUUUAACACAAAACUUGAGACGAGAAACAAUGUAAAUAAAGGUAAAAAAUAAAAAUUUUAUUACUGUGUUAGGCCGGGAUUAUUUCACCCUGCCCUCGUAGGUCACAAAAUUAUACAUACUUACUGUAGAAAAAAAGAAUUCUGUCUUUUACUGAAUCUAGUGCUAAGAAAAUUCAUCAAUUAAAAAAAAGGAAAGGCUAAUUAUACUAAAGGUUUGACACUUGGAAUUUCUGAUCGCUUACCGCUUUCUGAAUUUUCUUCCUGAGUACCUGGAAAGAAAAACAAAAAUAUAGGUAAGUAUUUAACAAAACUUACAAAACAUAAUAUGGGAAUAAGUCGAAUGAUUUUUUAUAGAUUCCGUAACAACCUACAGCCGUUGUUAAAUCUGAUGAUGUAAUGAUUGUACUUUGAAAAAGUUUGAAAUGUUUUGUAGCCAAAGUUAAGCAAAUUCUUGCCGAUCAGCAAAUCUAAAAUUAAUCAUAAAACAAUUUCCAACGGAUUUUUUAAAUUUUUAACACACUCAAAUUAUUUGUUUAAAACUGUCUUACGGUAUCUCUAAAAUUUACAGUAAUGAGGAAUGUGACACACUGAUAUCACACUGAACGAUAACACGAAAAAUAUAAGAAAACACGACAAUUUAGCCUCAUAUAAUAGCAAAUAACACUCAAAACGAAAACUAAUAAUAAUUAUUAUCUCAUAAAAUGAUUAAAAACAUAAGAAUUACCUCCAUCAUCGGGAUCCCCUACUUCUUUUGAAUCUUUACUGUUUUUCUUGUGUUUACUUUUCGAAAACUUCCUUAUAAGAGACAUUUUACUUCACAUCACACAAAAUUCUGCCCCCAAUAUUUAACAACUACUGCAAAAA